GAUUUCAACUGAAAAAGUCAUCAAAAACAAAGUUGUAUAACUCAUCAAGAUCUAUAACUUAUAUUUUGGUCAUUUCUUCAUCUGACAAAGUGAUUUGUAAGAUUGUUCACAAAAUGUACAUAUCUUAUAUAGUUUUAUAAAAACUAUAUAAGAUAUGUACAUUUUGUGAACAAUCUUACAAAUCACUUUGUCGGAUGAAGAAAUGACCAAAAUAUAAGUUAUAGAUCUUGAUGAGUUAUACAACUUUGUUAUUGAUGACUUUUUCAGAUGAAAUC
rnacentral:pre_miRNA from 1 species